GUGGGGAAUUUUGGACAAUGGGCGCAAGCCUGAUCCAGCCAUGCCGCGUGCAGGAUGAAGGCCUUCGGGUUGUAAACUGCUUUUGUACGGAACGAAACGGCUCUUUCUAAUAAAGAGGGCUAAUGACGGUACCGUAAGAAUAAGCACCGGCUAACUACGUGCCAGCAGCCGCGGUAAUACGUAGGGUGCGAGCGUUAAUCGGAAUUACUGGGCGUAAAGCGUGCGCAGGCGGUGAUGUAAGACAGAUGUGAAAUCCCCGGGCUCAACCUGGGAACUGCAUUUGUGACUGCAUCGCUGGAGUGCGGCAGAGGGGGAUGGAAUUCCGCGUGUAGCAGUGAAAUGCGUAGAUAUGCGGAGGAACACCGAUGGCGAAGGCAAUCCCCUGGGCCUGCACUGACGCUCAUGCACGAAAGCGUGGGGAGCAAACAGGAUUAGAUACCCUUGUAGUCC
rnacentral:rRNA from 1 species